rnacentral:rRNA from 1 species
GAUGAACGCUGGCGGCGUGCCUAAUACAUGCAAGUCGAGCGAACGGACGAGAAGCUUGCUUCUCUGAUGUUAGCGGCGGACGGGUGAGUAACACGUGGAUAACCUACCCAUAAGACUGGGAUAACUUCGGGAAACCGUAGCUAAUACCGGAUAAUAUUUUGAACCGCAUGGUUCAAAAGUGAAAGACGGUCUUGCUGUCACUUAUAGAUGGAUCCGCGCUGCAUUAGCUAGUUGGUAAGGUAACGGCUUACCAAGGCAACGAUGCAUAGCCGACCUGAGAGGGUGAUCGGCCACACUGGAACUGAGACACGGUCCAGACUCCUACGGGAGGCAGCAGUAGGGAAUCUUCCGCAAUGGGCGAAAGCCUGACGGAGCAACGCCGCGUGAGUGAUGAAGGUCUUCGGAUCGUAAAACUCUGUUAUUAGGGAAGAACAUAUGUGUAAGUAACUGUGCACAUCUUGACGGUACCGAAUCAGAAAGCCACGGCUAACUACGU